GGUACUCGAGCAUGCAAGUGAAACGUUAAAAUUUCUCUUCACAUUAUAUAUUAUUUCAAAAUUUUAAAUUACUACUCUAAACAUACCCGUAUAAAUAAUUAACUACUCUCAAAACUUGAACUCUGUAAUUUAUAAUAACACUCUUUAGUAAAACUAAAAAAAAAAAAAAAAUUAAUAUUUAUAAUUAAUUAUUAACAUAUAUAUUUAUUACGAUUAAACUUUUAAACUUUCACUAGCCGAUUUCGGAAGUUUAUCAUAAUCAUUUAAUUUAUAUUUUUGAGUUCAACCAACCUAGAAUCCGGCAUGUUCACUCGUUCGAAAAUCCUCAAUACAAUUAUGAACCUCAUUAUUAAAUAACUUUAAAAAAAUAUAUAUGAGACCGGAGAUCGAUGGAAUAUUGCGGAAGUUUUGAAAAAAAAAAUUUCACUAAUUUUAUAUGGAUUACUAAUUUCAGAAAAAUAUGAAACACUCGAGAGAAAUAUGAAACACUCGAGGUAAAAUGGGACACGUAAAAAAAUUUUUGGACAAAAAAAUUUUUGAAAAUAUUAAACUCUACUUCAAAUAAAUAUGACAUUAAAAUUUAAAACAGAUUUAAAAAAAAUUCAAAUUCAAAUUUUGGAGGCGGGAAAAAUUUCACUAAUUUUAUAUGGAUUACUAAUUUCAGAGAAAUAUGAAACACUCGAGGUAAAAUGGGACACAUAAAAAAAUUUUUUGACAAAAAAAUUUUUGAACUUAAUAUUAAACUCUACUUCAAAUAAAUAUGACAUUAAAAUUUAAAAAAGAUUUCAAAAAUAUUCAAAUUCAAAUUUUGGAGGCGGGAAAAAUUUCACUAAUUUUAUAUGGAUUACUAAUUUCAGAGAAAUAUGAAACACUCGAGGUAAAAUGGGACACGUAAAAAAAUUUUUGGACAAAAAAAUUUCUGAAAAUAUUAAACUCUACUUCAAAUAAAUAUGACAUUAAAAUUUACAAAAUAUUUCAAAAAUAUUCAAAUUCAAAUUUUGGAGGCGGGAAUAAUUUCGAAAUAAUUGUACCAUUUUAAAAUUGGGUUUGAUGCCAUUUUGAGUUCACGAGGUCGGAAUAACAUUAGCGCACUUAAUAUUCUUUACUGUUGUUUUCGUUAUCGUUGCAAGCUAGAGACGGAUUGAGACAAAGGAAAAGUGUUUAUCUAAUUAGGAAUGUGGUUACCUUGUUCUUAAGUCUUUACUUUAAGUUAUAUAUUAUGUCUUUGUUUAGUAUUUUUAAUUAUUUAAUUAUAUAUGAUUUUUGUUUUAUUCAAAUCGUGUUUCUUAAUUAAAAUAAACGAUUUUUGU